UCCUACGGGAGGCAGCAGUGGGGAAUUUUGGACAAUGGGCGCAAGCCUGAUCCAGCAAUGCCGCGUGCAGGAAGAAGGCCUUCGGGUUGUAAACUGCUUUUGUACGGAACGAAACGGUCUGGGUUAAUACCCUGGGCUAAUGACGGUACCGUAAGAAUAAGCACCGGCUAACUACGUGCCAGCAGCCGCGGUAAUACGUAGGGUGCAAGCGUUAAUCGGAAUUACUGGGCGUAAAGCGUGCGCAGGCGGUUUUGUAAGACAGGCGUGAAAUCCCCGGGCUCAACCUGGGAACUGCGCUUGUGACUGCAAGGCUGGAGUGCGGCAGAGGGGGAUGGAAUUCCGCGUGUAGCAGUGAAAUGCGUAGAUAUGCGGAGGAACACCGAUGGCGAAGGCAAUCCCCUGGGCCUGCACUGACGCUCAUGCACGAAAGCGUGGGGAGCAAACAGGAUUAGAUACCCUGGUAGUCCA
rnacentral:rRNA from 1 species